rnacentral:rRNA from 1 species
UACGGAGGGUGCGAGCGUUGUCCGGAAUCACUGGGCGUAAAGGGCGCGUAGGCGGCGCGGUAAGCGUGCGGUGAAAGUCCGGGGCUCAACCCCGGAUCGGCCGUGCGGACUGCCGGGCUUGAGCACUGUAGGGGCGGGUGGAACUCCGGGUGUAGCGGUGGAAUGCGUAGAGAUCAGGAAGAACAUCGGUGGCGAAGGCGCUCUGCUGGACCAUAACUGACACUCAGGGACGAAAGCUAGGGGAGCGAAUGGG